AUUGAACGCUGGCGGCAGGCCUAACACAUGCAAGUCGAGCGGCAGCGGGAAAGUAGCUUGCUACUUUUGCCGGCGAGCGGCGGACGGGUGAGUAAUGCCUGGGAAAUUGCGCAGUCGAGGGGGAUAACAGUUGGAAACGACUGCUAAUACCGCAUACGCCCUACGGGGGAAAGCAGGGGACCUUCGGGCCUUGCGCGAUUGGAUAUGCCCGGGUGGGAUUAGCUAGUUGGUGAGGUAAUGGCUCACCAAGGCGACGAUCCCUAGCAGGUCUGGGAGGAUGAUCAGCCACACUGGAACUGAGACACGGUCCAGACUCCUACGGGAGGCAGCAGUGGGGAAUAUUGCACAAUGGGGGAAACCCUGAUGCAGCCAUGCCGCGUGUGUGAAGAAGGCCUUCGGGUUGUAAAGCACUUUCAGCGAGGAGGAAAGGUUGAUGCCUAAUACGUAUCAACUGUGACGUUACUCGCAGAAGAAGCACCGGCUAACUCCGUGCCAGCCGCCGCAGUAAGAC
rnacentral:rRNA from 1 species